rfam:Dipodomys ordii contig_20398, whole genome shotgun sequence.
GGGAAGGUAGAUCAGCGGUAGAGUGCUUGCCUUGCAAGCAUGAGGCCCUGGGUUCGAUUCCUCAGUACCCA